GGGGUGAGAUCCUGGGUUGGAUUUUCCGUGGAUUCCAUCCUGCAGCUCGGGCAAACAAGGCCCUCCCUUGGAGCACACUCACUCUUAGACCGCUUGCCUGGCACGGAGCUGGGAAUCAAUUCCUGGGCAUGUUCUUUCCUUAUAUCACUGUGCCCAGAACUGUAGGAGCCACUGACAGAUGUCACUACACUCUGCAGGGAUCUCUAUACCAGCACUUCCCAAAGACCACCAGUGCCCCAGCUGGGAGGACCACGGAGAACUCAACUGAUGUGACAGCACUGUGUCCUGGGCAGAACUGCUAAGACCUCUGUUCCUUUAUGCCAUGCCAGCUCACAGGAUUUGACAGCUAGUUCUGCCUUCUGUUGGCUGAGGAACCAACCGUGAGUUCCUCUGAAGUUCAGUAUCCGUCUCCCAAAUAGAGGCAGCUAUAACCGCUUCCUGGCCGAAUGAAAAGACUCAAUUAUACCACGUGAAAUGUCAAGCAUACUGCAUGGUACACAGCUGGUGCUCCACAACUAAACAUCCUCUCUUUACUAAAUAUAUUCAAAACAAUCACAGACAGGAGGCCGGAAUGGCAGAUCAGCUGAAUUACCAAGGUUGCACAGGGGACCCACCCCCCACACGAUCACAACCAGCCGAGCGUCACUCUUCAGAUGGACGGCAGAGGUGUGCAAGAUGUGCUCCUGCCCGUGAGGAACUGAGGGAUCAACUGAGGUCAUAAAAUCUGAGACGGUGACAUAAAAGAAACUUGAUCUCGAAGAGUUCACAGGAGAGGCAUCCACAGAUUCUCCUGGAGGUCACUGUCAGGG